UACGUAGGGUGCAAGCGUUAAUCGGAAUUACUGGGCGUAAAGCGUGCGCAGGCGGUUAUGCAAGACAGAGGUGAAAAUCCCCGGGCUCAACCUGGGAACUGCCUUUGUGACUGCAUAGCUAGAGGUACGGUAGAGGGGGAUGGAAUUCCGCGUGUAGCAGUGAAAUGCGUAGAUAUGCGGAGGAACACCGAUGGCGAAGGCAAUCCCCUGGACCUGUACUGACGCUCAUGCACGAAAGGCGUGGGGAGCAAACAGG
rnacentral:rRNA from 1 species